CAGUAGCCACGGUAAUACGGAGGGGGCUAGCGUUGUUCGGAAUUACUGGGCGUAAAGCGCACGUAGGCGGCUUGGUAAGUUAGAGGUGAAAGCCCGGAGCUCAACUCCGGAAUUGCCUUUAAGACUGCCGAGCUAGCAGGUGAGAGAGGUAAGUGGAAUUCCGAGUGUAGAGGUGAAAUUCGUAGAUAUUCGGAAGAACACCAGUGGCGAAGGCGGCUUACUGGCUCAUACUGGACGCUGAGGUGCGAAAGCGUGGGGAGCAAACAGGAUUAGAUACCCCGGUAGUCCCUGUCUCUUAUAC
rnacentral:rRNA from 1 species